AUUGAACGCUGGCGGCAUGCUUUAUACAUGCAAGUCGUGCGGCAGCGCGGGGGCAACUCUGGCGGCGAGCGGCGAACGGGUGAGUAAUACAUAGGAACGUAUCCUGAAAUGGGGGAUAGCUCGGCGAAAGCCGGAUUAAUACCGCAUACGCUCCACGGAGGAAAGCAGGGGAUCGCAAGACCUUGCGUUUCUGGAGCGGCCUAUGUCUGAUUAGCUAGUGGCGGGGUAAUAGCCCACCAAGGCGACGAUCAGUAGCUGGUCUGAGAGGAUGAUCAGCCACACUGGGACUGAGACACGGCCCAGACUCCUACGGGAGGCAGCAGUAGGGAAUUUUGGACAAUGGGGCAACCCUGAUCCAGCCAUGCCGCGUGAGUGAAGAAGGCCU
rnacentral:rRNA from 1 species